rnacentral:rRNA from 1 species
GACGAACGCUGGCGGCGUGCUUAACACAUGCAAGUCGAACGAAGUGGCGAACGGGUGAGUAACGCGUAAUAAACCUGCCCUUCAGAGGGGGACAACAGUUGGAAACGACUGCUAAUACCGCAUACUGAAGGAGGGGAUUGCGUCUGAGUAGCGAGUUGGAGGGGGAACGGCCCCCCAAGGCGAGGAACAGUAGCCGGUCGGAGAGGAGUAACGGCCACAUUGGUACUGAGACACGGCCCAGACUCCUACGGGAGGCAGCAGUGGGGAAUCUUCCGCAAUGGACGAAAGUCUGACGGAGCAACGCCGCGUGAUUGAUGACGGCCUUCGGGUUGUAAAGCUCUGUUAAUCGGGACGCGGUACCGGAAUAGAAAGCCACGGCUAACUACGUGCCAGCAGCCGCGGUAAUUC